UGUCGAAUGAGUUUAAGCUCAAAAUAUCCUGCAAAUAUACAUACACAAAAUAAAAUGGAAAGAAAAAUAUAGAAAAAAAAUAAAUAAAAGUAGAAAAGGAAAAAAAAAAAAAUGGGAGAAAUGUAAAAAUUUUCUUCAAUUUUUCUUUUGUUUCUUUUUUUUUUUUUUCUUUUCUUCUUUUAUUUCCUUUUUUUUUUUUUAUUAUUUCAUUCUUCCUAUUUUGUGUAAUUUUUGAAAACAGGAAGGAAGGUCUGAGAUGCUGCAAAUAAAGAAGAGACAAAAGGAAAAGAAAUAAAAAAAAAAAAAAUUAUGGAUACAAAGUUUUGUCAAAAGCUUUGAAAUUCUACAUUUUUUUUUUUAUUUUCCUUUUGUUUUAUUCCUUUCGAAUUCUUCUUUAAACAUUUUUUUGAGAAAAAAAAUAUUGAAUAAAUAUUAAUUAGCUACCAGAAAUAUCAAUCAUAUACUUUUGAUCUCCACCACCACCCCUAAUAAAUAUAUAUUAUUUUUUGGGGAGUGGGGGAGAGACCUGGUAUAUGAUUUUGAAAAAGCUAAUAAGCAAGUAUACGUUAUUGAGUUCGAUUUUUGAGAUUUUUCGACGUUUCCAAAUGUUUAUAUUGGACCCAUUCAUUCUGGGUUAUAAUGUACAUUUGGAACACCCGAGAAAUAACCUAAUUCAGACUACUCGUAAAUUCAUUCGCACAU
rnacentral:RNase_P_RNA from 1 species